ensembl:lincRNA
GCAAGAUUUAUUGUUACUUUCACAUUUACACGGCGAGAGAGGAGAGGUUGUUCGAGUUCUGUGAGGUUCAGUCCUGACUUCUCCUGACUCCAGAAUGCACCCUGAUUAUCUCUAAUGUGUACUACGGAAAGAAUGUCUGCUUUCUUUGAUUCACAGAGUGCUCCUUCUUGCCAGGAAUGAGUUCCCAUCCCCACCCUCCCCUGGUCAUUUCUUCUUGGAUCAAUGAGCCGAGCAUCAGUUUGAUCCCCCCCAUGGCAAUUGGUUGUUUUGCACACAGUGAAGCAGAAUUUGUCAGUGGUAGGAUUAGGAGUUGGAUUUAGAUAGACAGCAACUAACUCCAGCCUGGGGAACUAACUCAAACUUAACUGGAGAAAGAGGGGGGAGACUGAAGUUUUGAAAGGGAAAGUUGCUUGACAACUUAGAAGCUGUCCAUGCCCUCACUGACAUCUUGGCCAUGUCAACUUCCUUAGUGAUAGAAUAUUAUGGAACUUAAAUAAUAGAAUACUUUUGUUUGCUUAUUUGUUUUCUGUUUUCCAUUUUGUUUCUAUUAUUGGGAUACCCAGUUUGGGGGUUCUUAUAAAGCUGCUCCUCUUGUUGGCUCAACAGGAAUAAAAUUGAGAUGAUAAAAGUUGCAAUUUCUUGAACUUCGAUUUUUUUUUCCUAAGAGAAAAGGGCAAAUAAGUAGGUGUCAAGAAACCAAGCAGCAAAGUGCAAGCUUCCUAAAUCACACACACAAUUAAAUGCAACACCACCACACACAGAAGAUUAUCUCGGCCUUGAAUUUCUGGAUGGUAUUUCCAGGCAUGAGAAGCACCUGUCCAGAGAAUUUCUCCCUGUAAUGAAGGGCAUCUGGCCAGGAGACAGAAAUAUGGUUGAGGAUGAUGAUGAGCUUUGGAUCACCCCUGCUUGGGAUCCCAGGAACAUCUACAGAGUUGCACCUUACCAGCCUUCUUCUCAAUUGUGGACUCAAACAAAUCUGAGUUCCCAGGAUUUCUUCCCUGAAGCCAUAAAGAGAAAGCUGUGUCUUCAGAGCAAGAGAAAAAAACACAGAACAGAUCUUCGGCUCUACUCUUUCCGAAAGUGGCUUGAGCUCUGAGGAUGAAUUCUCAGCUUGCCAGCUGUAAAAUAGAAGCGUGCUUCUUAUCUGCGAGUAUCUUCAGGAUCCAAUGAGUUAACAGAUGAAGCAGAGACCCAGACAACAUUGAGAGGAAAAGCACUGGUUUCUCUA